AACGAACGCUGGCGGCAUGCCUAACACAUGCAAGUCGAACGAGACCUUCGGGUCUAGUGGCGCACGGGUGCGUAACGCGUGGGAAUCUACCCUUGGGUUCGGAAUAACUCAGAGAAAUUUGAGCUAAUACCGGAUGAUGUCGCAAGACCAAAGAUUUAUCGCCCAAGGAUGAGCCCGCGUAGGAUUAGCUUGUUGGUGAGGUAAAAGCUCACCAAGGCGACGAUCCUUAGCUGGUCUGAGAGGAUGAUCAGCCACACUGGGACUGAGACACGGCCCAGACUCCUACGGGAGGCAGCAGUGGGGAAUAUUGGACAAUGGGCGAAAGCCUGAUCCAGCAAUGCCGCGUGAGUGAUGAAGGCCUUAGGGUUGUAAAGCUCUUUUACCCGGGAUGAUAAUGACAGUACCGGGAGAAUAAGCCCGGCUAACUCCGUGCCAGCAGCCGCGGU
rnacentral:rRNA from 1 species